rnacentral:rRNA from 1 species
AGAGUUUGAUCCUGGCUCAGGACGAACGCUGGCGGCGUGCUUAACACAUGCAAGUCGAACGGUAAGGCCCUUCGGGGUACACGAGUGGCGAACGGGUGAGUAACACGUGGGUAAUCUGCCCUGCACAUCGGGAUAAGCCUGGGAAACUGGGUCUAAUACCGAAUAGGACCACAGGACACAUGUCCUGUGGUGGAAAGCUUUUGCGGUGUGGGAUGGGCCCGCGGCCUAUCAGCUUGUUGGUGGGGUGAUGGCCUACCAAGGCGACGACGGGUAGCCGGCCUGAGAGGGUGUCCGGCCACACUGGGACUGAGAUACGGCCCAGACUCCUACGGGAGGCAGCAGUGGGGAAUAUUGCACAAUGGGCGAAAGCCUGAUGCAGCGACGCCGCGUGGGGGAUGACGGCCUUCGGGCUGUAAACCUCUUUCACCAUCGACGAAGGUCCGGGUUUUCUCGGGCUGACGGUAGGUGGAGAAGAAGCACCGGCCAACUACGUGCCAGCAGCCGCGGUAAUACGUAGGGUGCGAGCGUUGUCCGGAAUUACUGGGCGUAAAGAGCUCGUAGGUGGUUUGUCGCGUUGUUCGUGAAAUCUCACGGCUUAACUGUGAGCGUGCGGGCGAUACGGGCAGACUUGAGUACUGCAGGGGAGACUGGAAUUCCUGGUGUAGCGGUGGAAUGCGCAGAUAUCAGGAGGAACACCGGUGGCGAAGGCGGGUCUCUGGGCAGUAACUGACGCUGAGGAGCGAAAGCGUGGGGAGCGAACAGGAUUAGAUACCCUGGUAGUCCAA